GGGUUGUGAGGUUAAGCGACUAAGCGUACACGGUGGAUGCCCUGGCAGUCAGAGGCGAUGAAGGACGUGCUAAUCUGCGAUAAGCGCCGGUAAGGUGAUAUGAACCGUUAUAACCGGCGAUUUCCGAAUGGGGAAACCCAGUGUGACUCGUCACACUAUCAUUAACUGAAUCCAUAGGUUAAUGAGGCGAACCGGGGGAACUGAAACAUCUAAGUACCCCGAGGAAAAGAAAUCAACCGAGAUUCCCCCAGUAGCGGCGAGCGAACGGGGAGGAGCCCAGAGCCUGAAUCAGCAUGUGUGUUAGUGGAAGCGUCUGGAAAGGCGCGCGAUACAGGGUGACAGCCCCGUACACAAAAGCGCAUGUGCUGUGAGCUCGAUGAGUAGGGCGGGACACGUGGUAUCCUGUCUGAAUAUGGGGGGACCAUCCUCCAAGGCUAAAUACUCCUGACUGACCGAUAGUGAACCAGUACCGUGAGGGAAAGGCGAAAAGAACCCCGGCGAGGGGAGUGAAAAAGAACCUGAAACCGUGUACGUACAAGCAGUGGGAGCACCCUUUGGGGUGUGACUGCGUACCUUUUGUAUAAUGGGUCAGCGACUUAUAUUCUGUAGCAAGGUUAACCGCAUAGGGGAGCCGGAGGGAAACCGAGUCUUAAUUGGGCGUUAAGUUGCAGGGUAUAGACCCGAAACCCGGUGAUCUAGCCAUGGGCAGGUUGAAGGUUGGGUAACACUAACUGGAGGACCGAACCGACUAAUGUUGAAAAAUUAGCGGAUGACCUGUGGCUGGGGGUGAAAGGCCAAUCAAACCGGGAGAUAGCUGGUUCUCCCCGAAAGCUAUUUAGGUAGCGCCUCGUGAAUUCAUCUCCGGGGGUAGAGCACUGUUUCGGCUAGGGGGCCAUCCCGGCUUACCAACCCGAUGCAAACUGCGAAUACCGGAGAAUGUUAUCACGGGAGACACACGGCGGGUGCUAACGUCCGUCGUGAAGAGGGAAACAACCCAGACCGCCAGCUAAGGUCCCAAAGUCAUGGUUAAGUGGGAAACGAUGUGGGAAGGCCCAGACAGCCAGGAUGUUGGCUUAGAAGCAGCCAUCAUUUAAAGAAAGCGUAAUAGCUCACUGGUCGAGUCGGCCUGCGCGGAAGAUGUAACGGGGCUAAACCAUGCACCGAAGCUGCGGCAGCGACGCUUAUGCGUUGUUGGGUAGGGGAGCGUUCUGUAAGCCUGCGAAGGUGG
rnacentral:rRNA from 1 species